UGGCUGUGGUGGGCACGAGGAGAGGUAGAGGGAGCCCUAAGAAGUAUUGGGAGAGGUGAUCAGGCAGGACAUGACACGACUUAGGAUUUCUGAGGACAUGGCCCUUGACAGGGAAUUGUGGAGGUCUAGCAUUAAGGUUGUAGGUUAGAGGGUGGUUUGUGAAUAUUACUACAACGCGCUAGAGUGAGACUAGCCAUUUAGGAGUUAGUCUUAGGAUGCUACUGAUCAGCUACUGAUGCAGGGUUGUAUCUGUUGGAUAUUAGUAUACCUUACAUCCUUUUCUCCAUCCUUUUCGUAUUUCCUAUAUUUCUUAUAUUGUUAUUUUUUAUUUUAUUUUAUGUUAUAUAUUUUAUGUUGUUUAUUAUGAGUCUAUUGAUAGUAUUAAUAUAUUGUCUCUUGUUGCUCUCUUGAGCCGAGGGUCACCUGGAAACAGUCUCUCUGUCCCUCAGGGUAGAGGGGUAGAGGUAAGGUCUGCGUACAUAUUAUCCUCCCCAGAUUUCACUUAUGAAAUUACACUGGGAUGUUGUUGUUGUAAUAACCACUUUAAUUAGGGAAAAACAUAAGUGAGGGAAGCAUUUAACUCUUUUGAUAAAUAUAUUUUGUUGGCACUUGGUUACCAGGAAAUUACUCAUUCUCAAAAAAAUAUUUUUUUGGAAAAUUAACAUUUCCUUCGUACCAAACUCACUCUACUAAGUAAAGAUUGUAUUUCUAUGUGUAAAAUUAUUUAUGAAAAUUGUGUAUUUGCUGGUUUCGUUCGUGUCGUAUAAAUCAUGACAAAAGAAAAGAAGCGAGCUCUGCCCCUUCACCAAAAUUACCUCAUAGUAAUCCUCACUGGGUUGUUGCACCAGAUUUCAAGUAGCAAUUUUGCUUUAUAAUAAGUCUAUAGAUGAAUCACUCCACCAUGAUUAAUGGUCCUGAGCCACGGGCUGAGAAGGAAUAACAAGUGUACCCACAGCAUCAACAAGAAGAGCUUUAUGUGUAAGCCCACCAUAUAAAGCCCUUCUAUAAUCUUCAUGCUCUUUCACUAGCCCAAAUAGCCUCGUCGACGGCGACUCUUCUACCGGUGACUGAACAACAGCCGACGUUGAAAAUGAUGACACCGAACUCCCAAUUGGGUCGGCCCAAAUCCCAUCAGGCCAAUUUCCAAGAACCACCUGCAACUUUGGUUUGUGUGUUAAAUUGCAAAGUGCUUGGGUAAUCCUCGUCCUUUCCGCCAUUAGAGACAUCUUUUGAAAUGAAAAUGGAAACUCUUUGGUUUGAUAAUUAUAUGUAAUUUUAUAACUACAUGGAUUUUUUUCAAUCAUUAACAAAAAAGAAAAAGAAAUAGGAGUAGUAUUAUUUUAUAUAUAUUUGAUUCAAAUUUCUCAAUGUCUCUAUAUGUCCAUGUGUCGUAUGUGAUUUGGAGUAGAGAGAGACGGCGUUAGGACUAGGAAAAGUGGAGGGGAAGCCAAGAAUAAACAAGUAGAAAUUUGGAAGCGGCGAAGGUGGUUAUUUAANNNNNNNNNNNNNNNNNNNNNNNNNNNNNNNNNNNNNNNNNNNNNNNNNNNNNNNNNNNNNNNNNNNNNNNNNNNNNNNNNNNNNNNNNNNNNNNNNNNNNNNNNNNNNNNNNNNNNNNNNNNNNNNNNNNNNNNNNNNNNNNNNNNNNNNNNNNNNNNNNNNNNNNNNNNNNNNNNNNNNNNNNNNNNNNNNNNNNNNNNNNNNNNNNNNNNNNNNNNNNNNNNNNNNNNNNNNNNUUUAAACUUUUUACAAAAAUGUUCCACCCAAAAUACCAUAUCCAAUGUAUAUAACGGUAUCAAGGUUGUUAAACUUAUGGGGUCUUGCAAUAACAUAGUCACAAAUCCUCUAUAAUCUCGUGAAUGGUCUUAAUCCCUUCAAGCUCAUAUGAAUUACUACUUAUCCUAAUAUUAAAGUACGGGAUGUAACACCAGGGUUCUAAGGAGGAUGUCCAUACGGGCAUUUGCUGACGCCUUCUCAUUGAGCAACAUUUCCUUCAGGUCCUCAACCUAUUUCUUGAGGUCAGUAUUUCCUUUGUCAGACGGGCAACCUCUGUGCUUUGGGAACUGCUGGGACUAGGUGCCUCCUGGCCUGACUGAGCUGGCCUUCGAGAAUGGCAUUCCGUGCCUUCGGCUUCCUUAUCUCUUCAGUGGCACUAUUCUGAGCGUUAAUCAGCUGAGAGAUAGUGGAAUUGCUCCCAACCCCUCCACUCCUAUCAAUGCACUCACACUCUUCUUGGGUAGUCUUGGAGAAGGUUUUCUUACGAGUACCCACUUUAGCUUUUCCCAAAGGGACUUUGAAGAAUUCAAAAACCUUAGCGAGAAGGAACCCGUAAGACAAACCAUGAUUACCAUCCUUGUAACUCUGCCACUUUCUUCAUGUGAUCUAUCAUAAGACCAAGCAGGUUUAUAGUUGUGUAACCAUUCAGUGCUUCCAUGAGAACCAAAUAAAAAACCUUACUGAGAAGGAACCCGUAAGACAACCCAUGAUUAGCAUCUUAUAACUGUGCCACUUUUUUCAUGUGAUCUAUCAUAAGACCAAGCAGGUUUAUAGUGGUGUAACCAUCCAGUGCUUCCAUGAGAACCAAAUCUGCUCAUGACGUAAUGGAAUGUCUUUUUGCGCAUGGGAGCAUAACUUUGUUUACCAUUUCAAACAAUAGUUGGUACACUGGAAGAAAGAGGGCCUUCUUGUGUACCUGUUCCCCUUGUUGUACUGCCUUAUCCUUCAAGAUGGCAUUUUUGAAGUUCGAAGAGCAGGUUCCCUCAAUGGAGGACAUUCCGUCAAUAGGCACGCCCAAAAUGGUUCCUAGUAUAGUAGUAUCCAUCACAAAAUCAACACCGUUCACUUUAAGGCAGAUGUUAUAAUCCUCAACUUUGAAGAAGUCACCGUAGAAACUACGCACUUCUGCCUCAUACACUUUGGGACUAUCACUUGUGAACAAAUAUGUCCACUGUCACAGAUUUGUUUCCCUUGUCACGGAUUUGGGAAACGCUCAGCAAGCUGUACUUCAAUCCAUUAACAUAGUACACAUUUUCAAUUGAGUGAGGGAGAGACCUCCCAAUCCUUCCAACUCCCAGAAUGUAUUCUUUUUUGCCAUUUCCAAAGGACACACUUCCUACUUGCAGAGCCUUGAGUGAAAGGAAAUCAUUUGUGCUUCUAGUCAUGUGUUUUGAGCAGCCACUAUCCAUAUAUCAUUGUUGGCUGCCCCCUUUCACUGCUCCCUGCACAAGAAAAUCAAGGGUUAGACUUAGGAACCCAAACAAGUUUGAGUCCCUUAUAGUGAGGAAAUGGGUGAAUCAGGACUCUUUUGGUCCAAGCAGGCAUUACACGUCUUUUAUAUGAGGGACCAAGUUCUUUAGCAGUAGUUACCUUUUUAGCAAAAACUUUAUUUUUCCGUUGAGACUGAAAUCUGGCCUUACACGUUUCCUUAAAGUGCCCAGUAUUACCACAGUGAGUGCACAACCAAUUAUCAAGUACAGUAACGUACUUGCUAUAAGGGUUGUAAGGGGUCUUUUCCUUUUGGAACCCGAUUCCCUGCUUGUUUCCCCUAUUGUUCGUAUACAUGGCAGUGAUAGCAUCAGAGGACCAGGUCUACUUAAGUGAUUUUUCAAGUUCACUCUUAACUCUUCCUAGAUCUUCCUGAAGUUGUUUGUUUUUCUCAAGUUCAGCACACAGACUAGAUUUCACUGAUUUUAGCUUAUCUUCAAGCCUAAGAUGUGCCUCAUUUGCAACUUCCUUUCCCUUUUGAAUAAUCUCAUGCCUACCUUUUCCUUUUAGUUCCUUAAUUAUUUCCUUUAGGUCCACAACUACUACUAAUAAAUCAUCUCUCUCAUGCUCUAUGUUAGCAACCUUUUCAGUUAAAGCUUCUUCCUCCUUUUUAAAACACUCAAUGGUCUCUUUUAGAUCGACUACAACAAUAACUAGAUCAUCUCUCUCAUGUUCUAUGUUUGCAAUUUUUUCAGUUAAGACAUAUUUUUCCUUCUUCAAACUCUCAAUCAUUUCUUUUAAAUCGACCACAACAACUACCAGAUCAUCUCUCUCAUCUUCUACUUCUCCUAGUUCCAUAAUUAAUGCAUUUUUAUCAUUUAUAAGACUAUGAUAAACAUUAAUUAAAAUAUUUUCCAAAGACAUAAGUUUUUUUGGAGAGUAAGACUUCAGAUUUCUUUGAACAUCUAGAAAGUUUACCAUAUCAUCAUCAUCAUCAUCGUCAGAUUUUUCCAUCAUAGCAAAGAUAGAGUCAUACUUAGCUGCAUCACUUUCUACUGCCAUCAUGGAGUCUCUUCAUGCAGCAAGAGCUUGUUUCACAACAUUUUCAGAGGCAUCUUUUCUCUUGAAUCGUUUGUCAGGAGCUGGGUUCCUCUUAGCUGCUUUGUUUGUGUUGUGUUUGUAUUGUUCUUGCUUGAGGAGAGGGCAAUCCUCGAUGAAGUGUCCUGAUUUGCCGCACUUAUGAUGGUCGUAUCCUCUUGACUUGCUGGAGCUGCCCCUUUUUGGAAUACCUCCAUUUUUGCGAACCAUUUUCAGAAAUCUUUUUGUCAGGUAAGCCAUAUCAGCAUCCUCACCACCUGAGUCAUUGUUGUCUUCCUUGAGGAUCAGGUUCUUCUCUCUUUUAGGCUCUCUUAUCUCAUUAUCCUUCUUCUUCUUCAUUUCAUAAGUCUUCAGAUUGCCAAUGAGUUCAUCAAUGGUCAGCUUCUGUAGAUCCUUUGCCUCUGUAAUAGCAUUUACUUUGCUUUCCCAGGAACCAGGUAAUACACUAAGUAUUUUUCUGACAAAUUUGUUCUUGGGGAUAAUUUCUCCUAGAGAGUGAAGCUCAUUGAUGAUAGAGGUGAAGCGAGUGUGCAUAUCCUAAAUGGACUCAUCAUCCUUUAUUCUGAAGAGAUCAUACUCUAUGGUUAGCAUGUCAAUCUUCGACUGCUUGACUUGUGUUGUCCCUUCAUGAGCUGUUUGGAGAGCUUCCCAGAUCUCCUUAGUAUAUUGACAUGCUGAAAUCCUGUUGUAUUCAUCUAGUCCAAUAUCACAGACGAGGAUUUUUUUUGCUUGAAAGUUCUUCCCUAUAGCCUUACGGUCAACAUCGUUGCAUUCCUUUCUUGUUUUGGGAACUGUCACUACUAGGUCAUCAAUGGUCUUCGUAGGAACGAAAGAUGCAUUACAGAUAACAUCCGAGAGCUCUAAAUCUUUAGCCAUGAUAAAAUCAUGCAUCCUUGUCUUUCACCAUCCAUAAUAUUGGCCGUUGAAUCUUGGUGGUCUGUAGGUAGAUUAACCUUCUUCAAAAUUUGGUGGAGCAGCCAUAAGGAUCCUUUCUAGGUGUUAGCCUGAUAGAAAGAACCUGCUCUGAUACCAAUUGAUAGAAACUAAAGGUCCACCAAACUAUACAGAGAACCAGAUUCUCUAUUAGUUCCCACAGAACACACGCACACUGCAGUAAGUAAAUGAUACAAUGGAGUUUUGCGUGGAAAACUCUCAGCUCACGGGAUUAAAAAUCACGACCUACCCUUGUAGGAUUUCAACCUCACUAUUGAGCAAACUUCAGAUCACAACUUAUUGUGACCUAGAAAUUAACCACUUAAUCCCUCACGAACUUGUAACAACUCUAUUACAAAGCUUGCAACUCGACUAACUCUAGCCAAGACACAAAUACAAGGUUUAUGAUUUUACAAAGGUUUCCUACAUAAUGCUUCUAACUAAGCUAAGAGGAAACAAGUAAAGUACUUUAACAAAGGUGCAACACAACUAAAGACAUAUAAUGACUCAAUAUAGGGAACUGGUCCUUUGUUAUGUUGUUCUUUGUUCUUAAUGCCCUUGAGAAUCACUUGCUGGAUUGACGCUCACUUAGGAGAAUGCUUGAUUGACUCUUGAAUGUUCAAGUGUUAUGUUUCGCCUUUGCUUCAAUGUUAAUAUUACAUAGGUGACAUUACUUGAAUGAUACAAGCAUGUUUGGUACAAGGGCAUUCCCCAUAAAGUUGACUGCUGCACUGUUUGUACAGUUGCGUGUGCAGGCAGCAACUUUACAACUGUUGGGGGGUUGACUGGUACAGUUACCAAGGGAACUGGUGCCCAUAUGUUCCUUCUGUUGUUUCUAUGACUCUGAAGGGUUGAACCACGUCCCCAGCUUGAGGCUUAUUAUUCUUAGGUACUUGAGGAUAUGUAACAGGUUCCUCGUCUGAUUCUUAUCAUUAAGUUUGUUAGAUCAUCAAAACAUCGUAAGGAUGCAUAUAACCUAUCAUAUAUAUCUCAUGACAAGUUCAAUAUUCAAUUGUUUUUUUAAUUUGUUGUCCGAACCUAAUCCCUUUCAUUCUUACGUACGAGUUACCUACACGCUAGAGAAUACCGAAUGGAAUAUUCAAAAUAAUAAAAAUAUUUAAAUAGGGAAAGGGAAAGGGAAAGAAUAUUAAAGAGUUUCACACACUUGACUUUAAUUAUAUCCAAGAGAUUCAAUCUAAUGUUCCCCAUUUGACUGGACCCUGCAGUUUAUCCAUUACUGUUCAAUUAUUUAAUAAAUUAAAAAAGAUAAGAACAAUUAUUUAAUCGAAUGCUGUUUACUAAUUAUAUAAUAUUCUUAUUUUUUUGGUUUCCUUUAAAAUUGGAUUCUUGACAUUGACAUGCUAUCGGAUAGUUGGUGAUAAUUAUGAUGUAAUCAUAUGCAUAUGAUUGUUUGUCGAUGUUAUUGUAAUCAGUUUUCCAUUUAAUAAUGAAGAGAAAUUCUACAAAACACUAUUAAAAGAAAUUUCGGAAAACUAAAAUACACUACAAAAAUGACCAAAAAGAAACUUUCUAAAUUACUUAUCGGGGUUGAAUGUAAACACAAUAAUCCUGGAGUUACAAUCAACUCUUAAUAUCCAACCUAUCAAAAAUUAUGUAGGAUGAGUUUGGAUAAACAACCCGAAAAACUCAGAACUUGAUUAGGUACAUUACUUGUAUUAGUAGUAUGAUGUGAUUUAAAUAUUUAAAAUUCUAUGAAUUGAUUAAGGUGGAUUAAUUUAGGUCAUAUCCAAAUCUUAUCUUGUCGUGUUUCCAUAAACGAAUGCUCUAAAUCCUAUUGAUUGGAAUUGAAAGCGGGAGAAAGGAGAUGUAAAAACUUAUCCGCAAUUGGUGUUUACGUCAAGCAAAUAAAUGCAUUAUAUUUGCCCUACAUUAAAGUUAUUUAUCAUUUAACCAUGGUUAAGUGAUAUACAUCUACAUUUUAAUUUGUAACUCUCAUAAUUAAACUGCUUGAUUUUAUGUAAACAUCGGACACAUGUAAGUAUUGACCAUGUCCUAUAUGUGAUGCAAGUUGUAUGAAGAACUUUUGAAAUUUUAAUUCCAAAAUAAACCAAUAAAAGAAGAAAAACACAAUUAAAAAAAUGGGAUUAACAUGGGAAUAUAAUUAGAGUUGUAGUUUAACAACUUUAUUUAUACUCCUUGUCCAUAUUAUCUAUCUUAAGGUUUCCGUCGAUACUUCAAAACGCCAUUUAAUAAAUUUAAUCAUGAAUUUUUUUGUUUAAACUGCAUUUUAUAUCUUCGAAAAUUAUCUUAUUUAGACAAAUACUCUACUAUUCGAGCAGAAAGGAUAAAUCUGAAGGAAAAAUAUAACAAAUACUAAUACCAUAUUUUUUUAGAAACGUCUAAUAUUUUUCAUCUAAAUGUAGGUUUCAGUAACAAUUGAGGCCGUGCGCAGCUGGUGCAGGUGAGUUCUAGGAAGGUUUGAGCCCAAAUGCCACGUGAAAUUAUUAAGGAAGGGUUGGUCAAUACAAGUAGUUAGGUAACUGUCCUAAAUUUUGGCUGCUUCCUUUUGUUGAAUAUUUUGGAAUUAGUAGGCAUUCAAAAAAACACUACUCCCCCGGACAGUGUCCAUUUAUAUAAUUAAAAAAUAAUAAUUUAUUUUUUAAAAUUACCCUUAUGUACGUAUUCCUAAAAAAAAAAUUACUCCGCAUAUUAAAUUAUACUGUAACAUUUAAUUAAGGGUAGUUUAGUCACACUAACUAAAACUUAUUAAAUAUCUAGCUCUUUUCUCUGUCUGGAACCUAAAACUUUUAUAUAUUUCAUAAAAUAUGUACCUUAAUUGAGAAACUUCUUAAUUGUUAAUUGACGGUUAGUUGUUACUCAACUAAGUUCUUAAACUUUUACUAGAAAAAGCAAAUUAAAUAGAAACAAUUACUGUCGAUUGGGAGCAAAAAUGGUGGAUCUAUGAAUUGAAAUACGUCCAAGCACUGUGCCAAAGCUUAGGCUGAAUUGUUUGGACUUUUUGACCAAUAUUAUGAAUAUAUCAGUCUUUUUUCCCCCAAUUGUUUGUGUCACUAUGUUGUGGUACAGCCUCAAGCAACUUGUACCUUAUAAUUAUUUUUCGGACCUUCAUAUGACUAGUUACAAUUUGAAUAGAAGAAAAUGAUUAUACAAAGAUUUCCUACGUUUUAUUUACAUAUAUCUUGUAUUAUUCUUUUAUCGAUAACCUAUGAAAAAAGGUCAUAUAACCUAAAAACUAUUGUAAUUAACCAUAAAAGUGAUCUUCCUGUCUUAGUUUGUUUUCUUCAUUAUAUUAAUUUCUUAUUUUCUUGGUGUUGGAGGUGUUGGGAGGAUUUUGAGAAGUAACAGCUCGUUUGGUACGUCGGAUAAAGUGGGAUAAUAUGUGGGAUUAAAUUUAUACUGUAUUUGGUUGACGGUAUAAAUAUAUCUUGGGAUAAAUUUAUACCGUCAACUAAGCAUAUAUAAAUUUAAUCUCAGACUUAACUCUGAAUAUUCCAUCUUAUUCUAUCAAACUUGGGAUUAUUUUAUCCCACCUCCAAGGUGAGAUAAAUAAGUCCAGAGAUUAUAAUCUCAUGACUAUAAUUCCGGAAUAAUUUAGGUCAUAUAUCAAAUGACACCUUAGAGUUUGUGCAAUUACUGGAAGAAAAUAGUGAAGUGGCCCCUCAAAUUUAGACCUUUUGUCAUUUAGGCUUUCUAAAAUGUUGUGAGUUGCUCUCUCUGUCUCUGAUUUUGAAAAAUCAUGUGUCCAUUUGUAAUAGAAGAUAAAAUUAUUGGUUGGCAUUAAUUAUCCUAACCUGGCCUCAUCUUCAUUUUGACCUCUAUUAUUGGCAUUUGCCUUGCGGCUGUCUUCUGGCAAUUUGCAAGGAUUACUAUCUUAAAGAGGACAUAAAGUAUUCAAAAAUUGCAGUGUCUCCCCCUUUCUCAUGUUGAUAUUAGAAUGAAUUUAAGUUAUAUAUACAAAUAGUGUAAAGAUUUUUUUUACUAUUAAAAUUUUUUAACAUGUCAUAGUAAGUUAGUUACUAUUUUUAUCAAGUUACCAAUUUAUACUUACCAUGAAGAUCUCGAUAAUUACCUUGUAUAUUUUUCACCGUUAGCGCAAACAACUUAAACUCUAGAGUGUAAUACUUGUAUAUAUUCCCCGUUUGUCCAUAGAUAUUUUUUUCUUUUUUUCAAUUUAUUUUUUUAAAAACGUGUUUGUCCAUUAAAUUUUGCAAGUUAUUGAAAUUUUUUCCAAAAUGAUUUUCAAGACCACUUUUUCAAAAUUUUCAGAAAUUUUUAUUCCCCACUCACAAACCUGCAACUUUUUUUUCAAGUGUAAUGCAUGUCCAAAUAUAAUUGCAAAUUCCAAAUACCAUUUUUUAGCUUAACUCCAAAUAUUACUUUUUUCAUAAAAAUUAUAAUUUUUAUGUCCAAACGCCUACAUAGUCUCUUUGUAGUCAAACACGUUAUUUAAGUACAUUGCCGGUUGCUUUAGGCCACCUAUUUUUUGGGGCCCCAAAUUUUUCUAGUAAAUGUGUAUGUUAUUUUAUUUUUAAAAAAAUAUUUAUUGUUUUAAAUGUAAAAGUACAAUUUUCAUCGUAAAAAUGGAAAGAUUGAAUAAACUGAGAAAAGGAAUAGUCUUUUUGGGAGUCAUUCUCUAGACCAUAAAUUGAAAAAGAAUUCGACAAUUCAUAAAUUGAAACUUCAAUCACAAAAGGAGCCCUUGAUAGAUUUUUAACAAACAAUAAAUUAAAAAGUAUAUCACAAGAAAGAUUAAAUGAAUAAGAUAUAUUAGAAAUUAAUAUAAGAAAUUGAUUAUAAAAAAUUAUUAAUAACUUUGCAUAUAAAAAAGUUAAAAACUGGACUUCAAAUGGGGUUCUUUUUUUUAUAUUUGUUUUUAACAGAAAGUUUAAGACCUCUCAUUGAAGUUUUGCUUUAAGCCGUCAUGUUUAUUGAGCCGACCCCGUUUAAGUACUUUCUUAUUACAAGCCAUUAAGUAGAGAGAGAAUAAUUAUUUAGUUUUUACUAUUUCUCCCAGUGACGUGAUUAGCGUAAUUGAAGUUUGAAAAUGUUGACUAUUCAGAAGACAAAGCAUGUUAAUAAAUCUCUUUCAACCAAAUGUAAACAUCAUAUUGGCAUGUUGGUGGACUUAAAUAAUGCCGAAAUGCAUUGUAUAUAUAGCAGCUAUUUUGUAUUCUGGCUAUCUUUUUUAAGUGGUCCUAAAGAAAUUCAACAUGGGACGAUAAUAUUUCAUAAUGUGCCAAAUUUACUAGGAAAAAACAAAAUGAAUGCCUCCCCUAUCACCACUUGCAUGAUGUUUAUCUCUUAGCUAAGAAAAUGAUAGCUCACUCCUUUUCAUCUAACCUAAUUGGUUAGGGCCAUAGUAAACAAUUUCAAUCACCGUUUCCUUUUGUUAUUAUUUUAGCGUCUUUUAUAUUUAUUUUAGUUAAAGUUUAACUUAGAUAUUAAUUUUAAAAGCGAAUAAAUAUUUGUUACAAGGAAAAAGAUUUAAGAAAUUAAGAAUAUAAACAACAACAACAACAACCAAGUUCAAUUCCACAAGUGGAGUAUGAAGAUAGUAGUGUACACACAGCCUUAUCCCUACCUUGUGAAGGUUAAGAACAUGUUUCCGAUAUACCCCGACUCAAGCAAAGCACAAUCAUAGCAGUUGUAAGUGAAAUAAACAUGAAAGAGAAGCAGUAUCAACAUCAAAAAUUAAGAAUAUAAAAAAGAAUAAAUUAUCAUAGUUAAGUGUUGUGGAGAGAUUGAAGUUGGAUUUCAUAUUGAUGGGCUUACUUGUAAGAUCACACUGCAACUUUCAGUUUAGACUUCUCAUGAGAGACCAGUUAGGAAUGAAGGCAAGUGUUAAGGCUCUAUUAUUAGUAUUUGGGUACUUAGUUCGCCUAUUAUGAAAAGAUAAGUGUUAAGGCUCUGACCAAUACAAGCUCAGCUUCAUCUACCCAAAAAGUCAGAUGAAUGCAAAGCAGCUUGGACUACUUUAAUAAGAAUAACAAAUAUGAGAAUAAUACAUGUUAUGAAUGAAGGAAAUAGGAACAACUAGUUCUUAGACAAACCGCAUAUGGGGCUAAGCCAUUGUACAAGGACCAACAAUGGUGGAACAAUGUAUGCCAUGGAUAUGCACACAAUUGGCCGCAGCACUGCAAAAUUGAUGAAAGUAGUUAACAAUGAAUGAGAGGAAAAGGGAGGGUAAAUAGCUUCACUACAAAGGUAAUGGUGUGUGCAAUGAUAAUAUGUUGAAGCAUUGGUCUUCUUGGUAUCUUUGGAUUUGUGAAGAUGCUUUCUGCUUUGAGUGGCUUCUGAUACACGACUUGCUGAUGUACUUCUCUGGCCACUGUGCUUGACGCACAGCUCUUAAUCUUCCAUUUUUGCUAACAGCAUAAGGGAAGCUAAUUGAGCCUGGAGUUUCUUGCUCCUUCGGAAAUUCAUGAAUACUAGAUGGAGUGAACAAUGGAGACGGCUUUGGCCUCAACUUUCCCUCCCUCCAAGCCGUAAAUGUAUGCAGUAAAUUAGAUGGCACCUGCAGGCCAAAAGAAAAUUCCAUAAGUUUGUAAUGAAUAUAAUGUUGACCCCAACUUGCUUGGGAUUGAGGCGUAUUGUUAUUGCAAUGAAGAUAAUGCAUUCAGUAAAGAUGAAUACUGUCUACUAUUCCUUAUAGCAGCUAACCUUCUGCAGACAUCAUUAGUCAAAUUCUUUAAUAUCCAUUACUCAAACAUCUCAAAUAACAAUAUGUUCACAUAGUCAAUCUCUAGUAGUUUGAUAUAAGCUAUUAAUUAGUUCUGAGAUAUGUUUGAGUGAUGCUGAAUGAUCAUUUCAUUGUGUUAACCAAAGGUGAAUGUUCACUUUAAGUAAUCCUCUUUAGAUUCAUUUCAUGAAACUAUAACUAUAUGUUUCACUGAAACUUCAAGUGCUUUCAAACUUACAGUGGAAACCAGGCUACAGGCGGCAAAGGACAAAGAAGAUGCUCCAAAUGGAGCCUUUCCGGUUUUGCUAUCCUUCUUGUCACUUUUAGCUGCGCUUUGAUUGUCAACAGACCCGAAACUUGAUGCAGUAACCUCCUCUUCGUCGUCCUCCUCCUCUUCUUCCUCCUCAUCUUCCUUCUUUUCCGCCCACGUUUUCUCAACGUUAUCUGUUGGUUCAGAAGGCACUAUAUCAUCCUCUUCUUGGAUUCCCAUUUCAACUUUCUUUUCCUCCUCUUCUUGCAUUCUCUUUAAUUCGUCAUCCAUGUCUUCCAUUGCCUCCUUCAGAGACAAUUCUGCUUCUGCUAAUUCAAACUCUUUCUUCAAGAGCUCUAUCUUCAUCUCACCUGCUUUCUUUUUCUCUUCAGCCCAUUUCUCCAGCUUCUCAAACAUUGGUUUGCAUGCAUUUUCCAUAGAGGUAACAAACCGCUUCCACAUGUUAUCUGAUUGGACAGCCCCACCUCGCCCAUAAAACUCGUCAAAUCCGAGGGGAAGGAAUUCAACCUUAUCAGGAUCAACAUCUUCACCCUCUUUUACAAGAGGUUGCCAAAACAAUCGUACCCCAUGUUCCUCGUCUUCC
rnacentral:lncRNA from 1 species